rnacentral:rRNA from 1 species
GCCUUCCUACGGGGCGCAGCAGUCGGGAAUAUUGCGCAAUGGAGGAAACUCUGACGCAGUUACGCCGCGUGCAGGAAGAAGGUUUUCGGAUUGUAAACUGCUUUAGACAGGGAAGAAAAAAGACAGUACCUGUAGAAUAAGCUCCGGCUAACUACGUGCCAGCAGCCGCGGUAAUACAUAGGGGGCAAGCGUUAUCCGGAAUUAUUGGGUGUAAAGGGUGCGUAGACGGAAGAACAAGUUGGUUGUGAAAUCCCUCGGCUCAACUGAGGAACUGCAACCAAAACUAUUCUCCUUGAGUGUCGGAG